rnacentral:rRNA from 1 species
UACGUAGGGGGCAAGCGUUAUCCGGAUUUACUGGGUGUAAAGGGAGCGUAGGCGGCGAUGCAAGUCAGAAGUGAAAGCCCGGGGCUCAACUCCGGGACUGCUUUUGAAACUGUGUUGCUAGAUUGCAGGAGAGGUAAGUGGGAUUCCUAGUGUAGCGGUGAAAUGCGUAGAUAUUAGGAGGAACACCAGUGGCGAAGGCGGCUUACUGGACUGUAAAUGACGCUGAGGCUCGAAAGCGUGGGGAGCAAACAGG